GGCCGCGUGGCCUAAUGGCUAAGGCGCUAGAUUUCGGUUCACCGAUUUCACCAAUUCUCUAGAGAUUCCAGGUUCGACUCCUGGCGUGGUCG